GAAUAAGAACAAUAAUAAUAAUGCACUUCAGAUGAAAGGUAAGCAAGAAAGUUAUGUAUAUAUAUUCUCUUGAUUGAUGCGUUACAAAUGAUUGGUAUCCCUUUUAUAUGGUAGAGGAAUCCUGAAUAAGGUACAAUUCUAAUUGAAGUAGGGAAUCUUAUUAUACAACUGUCUAACUGCCUAGCUUUAUAUGGUAGAGUAAUCCUGAAUAAGGUACAAUUCUAAUUGAAGUAGGGAAUAACCUUAUUAUACAACUGUCUAACCGCCUAGUACAUAUCCAUUCUAAAAUUUACACCGUGAUCUUAGAACCACUACGGGAAUCUUGCUCUUUCUGUUGUGAAAACAUAACGGUAUUAUCUCGAGGUUGAUCAUACUUGGCCUCGGUGUUCAUCGACCACUUCAAUAUUCAAGUCUUGUACUUCACCAUCGGGCUCGAGCCCGGUCCAUUUCGAACUUGCUCUCGAAGCGACCCCCUUGAGCCUACUGAAUCAGGCGUACCUAAUUUCAACCAUAUACAAGGUUACAACCACAUUCAUAAGGGAACGAGGAACGCAAAACUAUUUCUUGCUAAGUAACUUCCUAGAAAGCAUUCCGAAAGCGGCGGGGAUUGCCAGCAAUUUUAAGCAUUAAUGAGCGGCAACUGUUCUUUUGCCUGGAGAUAGUAGAUAGUAAGGCCCAACACAUUCUCUAGGAUCCCUCAAAAGUUAAUUGAAGAUGAGAAACAAUUUGACUUGGACGUGGAAAUAGUAGAGUUUGGAGGGUUGGUUGAGA
rnacentral:lncRNA from 1 species